GCCAGGUGACAGAGGUUUGAUGGCCUGAUUUGUGAUCUCAGCAGGUCAUCGGUUCGACUCCGGUACCCGGCU
rnacentral:tRNA from 1 species